rnacentral:rRNA from 1 species
AUACGUAGGUGGCAAGCGUUGUCCGGAAUUAUUGGGCGUAAAGCGCAUGUAGGCGGUUUGGUAAGUCGGUCGUGAAAAUGCGGUGCUUAACGCCGUAUGGCGAUUGAAACUGCUGAACUUGAGUGCAGGAGAGGAAAGGGGAACUCCCAGUGUAGCGGUGAAAUGCGUUGAUAUUGGGAAGAACACCGGAGGCGAAGGCGCCUUUCUGGACUGUGUCUGGCGCUCAGAUGCGAAAGCCAGGGUAGGGAACGGGAUUAGAUUCCCCGGUAGUCCUGGCCGUAAACGAUGGGUACUAGGUGUGGGAGGUAUCGACUCCUUCCGUGCCGGAGUUAACGCAAUAAGUACCCCGCCUGGGGAGUACGGCCGCAAGGCUUAAACUCAAAUGAAUUGACGGGG